AAUUUUUAUUACCAAAGCAUCGAAUUUAUGCUAUCAAUUUUUAAGUAAUCAUAGAGCAUUGGUUUUACUAUUUUACACAUAUUUUUAUGCAUUGCAAAACCAUUCUGAUACAACGUGCUUCAAGUGAAUGCAAUGUGCCCGAAUUAGUCACGCUACUAUCAAUAUCUUUUUUUAUCAAUACUCACAAAUUCACACUGCUUAGAAGAUGAGAAAGUUUGAUACUCACCGAAUUUGACAAGAAGCAUCAGGGAAGAUUUUUCGUUCCAGAUCGCUAACUGCCGUCACACUAAAACUUUUCACACAAGAAAAUAUGGACAUCUGUCAAAUCGCUAUUUUUAACAGUUGCAAGUUGAAAAAAGGCCUUUCAAUGGUCUAAACGUAAUACUUUCACCAACCAUCAAUUUAGCAAAGAUUAAAUAGAGGAAAUGGAAGAAAAAAAACAAAACAUCUUUUCGAAUCCCAACUACAAAUCAAUAAAACACAUUUAAUAUUUAUUCAUUUCCGGUAGAUUAUAUCGAUUGUCCUUUAACACUGUCUAAGGCAACUAUAAAAACUUCAUUAUACGAAACGAUUCAAUACAGCUAAUAAACAUUUAUACAAGAUUUAUGAUCUCAUUUAAAAAUAAAAAAUGGGAAACUUUAGCAUUGGAAGUUUUUUUAAUCAUUGGUCACGUUCCUUAUCAGAAGGACCUCAUAAUGCGGAAUGUUGUACGCUGUGCACGUAUGCUAAAUAUAUACCCUUAUUACAGAUUG